AUACGGAGGGAGCGAGCGUUAAUCGGAAUUACUGGGCGUAAAGCGCGCGUAGGCGGCUUUGUAAGUCGGAUGUGAAAGCCCUGGGCUCAACCUGGGAAUUGCAUUCGAUACUGCAUGGCUAGAGUAUGGUAGAGGGAAGUGGAAUUUCCGGUGUAGCGGUGAAAUGCGUAGAUAUCGGAAGGAACACCGGUGGCGAAGGCGACUUCCUGGACCAAUACUGACGCUGAGGUGCGAAAGCGUGGGGAGCAAACAGGAUUAGAAACCCCGGUAGUCC
rnacentral:rRNA from 1 species